rnacentral:misc_RNA from 1 species
GGAACAGGUUAAGGAGGAGGGCUCACGAUCUGAUAGAAAAGUAUUGUUACUGUACAGCAAAAAGGGGGUUCUUGGGCUUGGGUUGAAAACCUUCAAGCAGCCGCUGACAACUUCAGCAACUGGUGACAAUAAUGUACCUUCUGGUAGCUAUGAUGUCAAGGAAACUGGAAAAAGAUUAUUUGGGCCAUUCAGCUCCAGAAUGGCCACGUUUCUCUCUCAAUUUGUCCUCUACCUUGCUGCUAUUGGUGACAUUGUUGAUGGGGCUGAUACCACUCAUGACUUCAACUACUUCUCACUUGUGUAUGAAUGGCCUAAAGACCUUUUAACUCGUCUAGUGUUUGAGCAAGGAAGUACUGAUGCAGCUGAAAA